rnacentral:ncRNA from 2 species
AUUCAAAUACGAGUAAUUGCCUAUAUAAUGUCAUGAUAAGGAUGACGAGUUUCUACCCAGCGCCGUAAACGCUGGACUAUAAGCAGACGAGGCCAUCCC